GAUGAACGCUCGCGGCAGGCUUAAUACAUGCAAGUCGUGGGGCAGCAGGACUGUAGCAAUACAGUUGCUGGCGACCGGCAAACGGGUGCGGAACACGUACGCAACUUACCCUGAACUGGGGGAUAGCCCGGGGAAACCCGGAUUAAUACCCCGUAAUAUAAUGGAGUGGCAUCACUUUAUUAUUAAAGCUCCGGCGGUUCGGGAUGGGCGUGCGGCUGAUUAGGUAGUUGGUUGAGGUAACGGCUCACCAAGCCUACGAUCAGUAACUGGUGUGAGAGCACGACCAGUCACACGGGCACUGAGACACGGGCCCGACUCCUACGGGAGGCAGCAGUAAGGAAUAUUGGGCAAUGGAGGCAACUCUGACCCAGCCAUGCCGCGUGGAGGAUGAAGGCCCUCUGGGUUGUAAACUUCUUUUAAAGGGGACGAAACCUGUGUAUUCUUACGCAGUUGACGGUACCCUAGGAAUAAGCACCGGCUAACUCCGUG
rnacentral:rRNA from 1 species